rnacentral:piRNA from 1 species
UCCCGGUCUGCUGGAUCUCGCGGUAUGC